rnacentral:rRNA from 1 species
UACGUAGGGUGCGAGCGUUGUCCGGAAUUAUUGGGCGUAAAGAGCGUGUAGGCGGCCAGGUAGGUCCGUUGUGAAAACUCGAGGCUCAACCUCGAGACGUCGGCGGAAACCCUCUGGCUAGAGUCCGGAAGAGGAGAGUGGAAUUCCUGGUGUAGCGGUGAAAUGCGCAGAUAUCAGGAAGAACACCCGUGGCGAAGGCGGCUCUCUGGGACGGUACUGACGCUGAGACGCGAAAGCGUGGGGAGCAAACAGG